GCCAGGAGGCUCUGGUAUUAGGAACAUGGAGGAUCAGGAGCAGGGAGGUAAACUAUUUUCACCAGUGAUUAAAGCAUGGCUCCAAAACCACAAGACAAAACCCGAUGCCGCCAGAUAGGCAGAUACGGCGGAGCAGUGACUAAAACCAUCCAGAACUGUUAGAUACUCAGAGUUAAUGAUGGAAGCUGAAGCUUGUUGUCAAGCUCUUUGUGAAACCGAUGCAGAGAAACAGGCCCUGGCGGAAGAAAGCGAGCAAUCCUGUUCUAGAAUAGAUGUCUCAGCUAGAUGG